AUCGAACGCUGGCGGCAGGCCUAACACAUGCAAGUCGAACGAGUGGCGGACGUGUGAGUAACGUCUGGGAAACUGCCUGAAGGAGGGGGAUAACUCCUGGAAACGGUAGCUAAUACCGCACAUCAUCCGCUGUGCCCAGAUGGGUUUAGCGAGUUGGUGGGGUAACGGCUCACCAAGGCGACGAUCCCCAGCUGGUCUGAGAGGAUGACCAGCCACACUGGAACUGAGACACGGUCCAGACUCCUACGGGAGGCAGCAGUGGGGAAUAUUGCACAAUGGGCGCAAGCCUGAUGCAGCCAUGCCGCGUGUAUGAAGAAGGCCUUCGGGUUGUAAAGUACUUUCAGCGGGGAGGCGUUACCCGCAGAAGAAGCACCGGCUAACUCCGUGCCAGCAGCCGCGGUAAUUC
rnacentral:rRNA from 1 species